AUAUAGACGUCAGCAACAGUUACUUAAGUAUUUCGCUGUCGUUUGUAAAUUUAAGCCGACGAAUAACCUUCCUUGCCGAUUUCGUUGAAUAUUUCUGUAACCUUUAGAAGACUGAAACAGAUAUUGUGACAUCUUGAUAUAUUUCUAUAACAUUAGACUUGUGUAAAAUGGAAUUAUUUGUAAUUAUAAAAAUGUUGCCGUUAUCAUUAUACAUAUGUUUUCUGUCAAACGGACCUAUUGCGUUUGCUUUCCGGCGAAAGGAUAUGCCUGAAAAUGUCGUCAAAUAUAUAAUAUGUAAGGAACCCUGGUGUGAACAGUACAGCCCCUCGGAAGUAGCAAAGAUGUUUCCAGGCGUGUUUCUCACUAAAGAGAAAUACAUUAUUCAAAAGAGCAUAUACAAUGAAACAAGGGCAAACUAUCUGCGUAAUGAAGGGGUCAAUGACGUAAACAUUAUUAUUGGCCUCGGAGGAGAUGGAGAUUCCUGCUGCGCCACGACCUACAAGGCACAUAUAAACUCAAGCCUGAGCAAUAUCGAGGGAACAGAAAGGUCUAUCGUACACAUGACAAGUGUUGAACCGCCAAUGUAUCAGUUUAUACCACAUGCUUACUGCGAAACUACGGACUGCAUGAAGGGGCCACACUUCUGGACAGUUCAGCGCCUUUAAAACUCACCAUGUUUAAAAAGCUGUUACAUGUCUUCGUUUUGAUGCAUUUGCAACAAUGUACCAGUGUUUAAACUUAACACAACUAGCACAAGUGGGGGAUGUAUUGGAAUAUGCGUCCUUGAGUAUGUGACAUUAACGUUCCUCGUGUACGACCCUAUGGCCAAAAUCAUGAUGUUCGACCAGUUCCUGCUACCCGGAUAUUGCUCUUGUAAACGCGUUCUUCAAUAAGUAUACCUAAAAUAGGAGAGAUAGUAUGCCUUCCGGGUAUUUAUCAGGAAUACUGAAAUGAAGAAUUAAACUUUUGAUGAUGUUUUAUGUGAAUGUUUGCCUUAACUUCAGUUUUGAGAAUGAAUUCGUAUUCAUUUUUUAUAUAGUUAACUUAAAACAUGGUGACUUUAUCGCGCCGUGAUCUGCCAUAUUGUUUAAAUGUUACUGCAUAUAAUUAUAAGUCUUGUUAAAUGACGGAGAUCAGAAGUAUUUUGUAAAUAAAAUUUCAAAAACAAUACAAAAUAUUUUUUUCUUUUCAUCAAAAUGUACCAAAAUGGUUAUAAAAGUGAUCAUAGUUUGUAAUUUUGACAACCAGAGAAUGAGACUGAAAUCACUGUGUAAAUGAAACUGUGGUCAACACUAUGAGAAAGAAACGUACAUCUCAUUUUGAAUGAGGUUGAAGUUAGAUUGGAAGUGCCACUAAAAUCGUUUCGGCAAUAAAACUGCGAUCACAAGUAAGAUCAAUGGAGGAAUGAAACUGAAAUCACUUGCGACUGAACCAAACACGCACAUUUGACAUAAAACAGAAAAGAGCAACAGGGAAGAAUGUAAAGAAUAUAGAAUAAUAGUAGACCAGAACCAGUUUCAAAUCAGGACAAAUACAUUAUAAAUGCUUACACGCUACUUCGAAUCUAAUCGUAUUUAAUGACGUACUCUGGAAUUAAGACUUAGACGAAUACUAAUGUCCAAUUUUUGGACUGAUUAAUCAAAACUACGACAGCAUUAAAAACGUUCUGAUAACUUGUGACGUUACUCUUUUACCAUUGAAGUGCGAAUAUACAAAUGUAUAUCAUU